rnacentral:rRNA from 1 species
UACAGAGGGUGCAAGCGUUGUUCGGAAUUAUUGGGCGUAAAGCGCGUGUAGGCGGCUUUGCAAGUCGGGUGUGAAAGCCCUCAGCUCAACUGAGGAAGUGCGCCCGAAACUGCAGAGCUUGAGUACCGGAGAGGAUGGCGGAAUUCCCCAAGUAGAGGUGAAAUUCGUAGAUAUCGGGAGGAACACCAGUGGCGAAGGCGGCACUCUGGGCCGGUACUGACGCUGAGGAGCGAAAGCGUGGGGAGCGAACAGG